ACCAAUCGCAUUCCGUCACAAACAGUGGGGCGAACCACACACACACACACACACUCGCACGGACCGUGAUUGCGGAGUUUUUGUUUUUGCCAUUCGCUUUGAAAAUUUCGAUUUAACUAUAAUUUAAAAUUAGCAAUUUGCAAUUGCUACAAACAAAUUCCGUCUAUGGUGCAACGAAAUACGUAUAUUAAUAAAGUGUCUGCAUCGGUUCUGUGCUGGCUUGCAAACUGGACAGCAACCAAUUUAUAGAAAUGAAAGUGGAAAUCGUGUGAUGUCAUGUCGACGACGACGGCAGCGACGUCGACCGUUCUGUUAAUUUAAACUUCCUGUCCUCUUCUGUCUUGUGUUUAAAGUGCCGUCCACGGUGCAUGUGUGCAGCGAAUGAGAAUUGAUAAUUAAAGCGAGAUCCUUUCAAGAACCCCAAAGCGACAAGUGACAGUGAACAGUAUUUGGCUUUGAAAAAUAAAAGAUUCUUUCAUUUUCAUUCCACCUCCAGCUCCAAUGUGCCCGUGAAUAGCAGCACAAAAGAGAAAAGGUGAAACGAGCCAAACACACACACGCACACACACACAAACACAGACGUUUAUUCGCACGCACACAGAGGCACACGCAGCACGCUUGCGUGUAUGUUUGUGGAGUGAGUUUGUUUUCUGGAGCGGGAAGCAACAACGACAACAACGGCAGCCAAAGCACUCAAGCAACGUCCGACAUCAACAACAACAGCAACACAGUAAAACAAAAAAGGGAACAUUUUACUUUUUUAUUGAUUUCCCUCCAAAAAAAGGAAAGCAAAAGAAUAACAAAACGAAAUAAUUGACGACAAUUCCGCCCAAGCAACAGGAGCAGCUGCACUUGCCACACCUACAGACUGUGGUACCGUCCUAAAGCUCCAAACACAUACACACACUCACACACACAUUCCCUUCCUUCUCCUCCUACCCCCUUUUACCCAAACAACUCCUGGAACCCAACCCCACAUCAUGUCCAGCCCCAGCGCCAACGAUGGCGCCCAAACAGUUCUGGAGCUGCGCAUGGAAGUGGAGCGUCUGACACGCGAACUCGAUCAGGUGUCCAGCGCCAGUGCACAGUCCGCUCAAUAUGGACUGUCGCUGCUGGAGGAGAAGUCGGCGCUGGAGCAGAAGUGCGAGGAGCUUGAAACUCUCUACGACAACACACGGCACGAGCUGGACAUAACGCAGGAGGCUCUUACCAAAUUCCAAACCUCACAGAAGGUCACCAACAAGACCGGCAUAGAGCAGGAGGAGACACUGCUUAAUGAGUCGGCUGCUCGUGAAACAUCACUCAAUUUGCAGAUAUUUGAUCUGGAGAAUGAGAGCAAGCAGCUACGCCAUGAGCUGGAGCGGGUACGCAAUGAGAGGGAUCGUAUGCUGCAGGAGAACUCGGAUAUUGGACGGGACAAGACCGAUAAUGAGGCGGAAAGAUUGCGUCUCAAAUCAGAGUUGAAAGAUUUGAAAUUUCGUGAAACUCGUAUGCUUAGCGAAUACUCAGAACUGGAGGAGGAGAACAUAACGCUACAGAAGCAGGUGUCCAGCUUGAGAAGCUCGCAGGUGGAAUUUGAAGGUGCCAAGCAUGAGAUUCGUCGACUGACCGAAGAGGUGGAGUUGCUGAACCAACAGGUCGAUGAGCUUGCGAAUCUCAAGAAGAUUGCCGAGAAGCAAAUGGAGGAGGCGCUGGAAGCAUUGCAGGGUGAGCGUGAGGCAAAAUAUGCGCUGAAAAAAGAGCUGGAUGGUCAUUUGAAUAGGGAAUCCAUGUAUCACAUCAGCAAUUUGGCCUACAGCAUACGCAGCAACAUGGAGGACAAUGCCAGCAAUAAUUCCGACGGAGAGGAGGAGAAUUUGGCACUGAAACGUCUGGAGGCUGAUUUAAGUACAGAGCUCAAGUCACCCGAUGGCACCAAAUGCGAUUUGUUCUCGGAAAUUCAUCUGAAUGAACUGAAAAAGCUGGAGAAGCAACUGGAGAGCAUCGAAAACGAGAAAUCCCAUUUGACGACCAAUUUGCGUGAGGCACAAACGAGUCUGGAUAAGUCCCAAAAUGAGUUGCAAAACUUUAUGUCACGUCUCGCGCUGCUGGCCGCGCAUGUGGAUGCCUUGGUGCAACUAAAGAAACAGAUUGACGUGAAGGAUCCGAAGGCCAACAGCACUGAUCAGGAGAAGGAUGAACAAUUGCAGCAACAGCUUCGUGCAAUUAUCUCACAAUAUGCCAAUUGGUUCACGCUAUCCGCCAAGGAAAUUGAUGGCCUCAAGACUGACAUUGCCGAGCUGCAGAAGGGUCUCAAUUACACAGACGCCACCACCACGUUGCGCAACGAGGUGACCAAUCUGAAGAACAAACUGUUAACCACCGAACAAAAGUCCCUCGAUCUGCAAAGUGAUGUGCAAACACUCACACACAUCUCACAAAAUGCUGGUCAGAGUUUGGGCUCGGCACGCAGCACUUUGGUGGCUCUCAGUGAUGAUCUGGCGCAGCUUUAUCAUCUGGUCUGCACGGUCAAUGGCGAGACGCCUACACGUGUGCUGUUGGAUCACAAGAGCGACGAUAUGAGCUUUGAGAAUGAUUCUCUGACUGCCAUUCAGUCGCAGUUCAAGUCGGAUGUUUUCAUUGCACGCCCGCAAAUUGUUGAGGAUCUGCAGGGACUGGCCGAUUCCGUGGAGAUCAAGAAGUAUGUGGACACGGUCAGUGAUCAGAUCAAGCAUUUGAAGACUGCUGUGGAGCACACCAUCGAUCUGAACAAGCACAAAGUGCGCGCCGAAGGUGGCGAGACUGUGGAGAAGGGCAACACCGAGGAGCUGGAGGAGCAACAGGAGCAAAUUGUCAAGCUCAAGAGUUUGCUGUCUGUAAAGCGCGAACAAAUUGGCACGCUACGCAAUGUGCUCAAGUCAAACAAACAAACCGCCGAGGUGGCACUCACCAAUCUCAAGUCCAAGUAUGAGAAUGAGAAGAUCAUUGUUAGCGAUACCAUGUCCAAGCUGCGCAAUGAGCUCCGGCUGCUCAAGGAGGAUGCUGCCACCUUUUCAAGUCUGCGCGCCAUGUUCGCCGCACGCUGCGAGGAGUAUGUGACCCAGGUGGAUGAUCUGAAUCGGCAGCUGGAAGCUGCCGAGGAGGAGAAGAAAACGCUCAAUCAGCUCCUGCGUUUGGCAGUACAACAGAAACUGGCGCUCACACAGCGUCUGGAGGAAAUGGAAAUGGAUCGGUGGGUGCAUUUGGGUCGCUAAGCAAACAAAUCACGAUCCACAUAUCAAAGUCAUUUAUUUCUCUAUAUACAAUAUACUAUAUACUACCCCUGUACAAUACCCAAACAAAAACCUCGACCACAACCAGCACAUGCGAGAUGCGUCAUGUACGUCGUCCGAUGCCACCGCAGCGCGGCACCAGUGGCAAAUCCUCAUUCAGCACACGUCCAUCGAGCAGAAAUCCGGCGAGCAGCAAUGCGAAUCCCUUCUAACAUAAAAUCAGCGUGCAGCGUAAACUCUUGGCUUUAGUUUAUACUUUGCUUAAGUUGUAAAUUCGUUGGAGCGUUGGACACUCACGGAAAGAUCCUCUCCCUCCACUCCCCGCAAUUGAAUGGAAAUACUGAAAAUGUAUUUUGUAUUUGUGAACGAAGCUAUAGCUAUUGUCUAUCUAUAUUUCUGUCGAUUCUAUCCUAUAUAAUAAUAUCUAUUUGUAUCUGUUUCUAUUUGUAUUUAUUGAGAGUUUAGUUAGACGAAAAAUUUGUGUUAGGCGAGUCACGCAACAAACGGUUAUUAACGGUUAGUUACUUAAACGUCCAAUUAAUUUAAUUAAAAUUAUACAUUUACAACAUUUAACAAAAGUGAAAAGUAUUUUUCUAUACACACAAAAGAAAAACAAUAACAAAAUAUAGAUGUAUUUAAUAACGUUUUAGUUUGAUUUAAGUUCGAGUUUUGUUAAACUUUCGCGUUCUGUUAUCAACGCUGUGCGCAAGCGAAACUGAUGAAACUAAAACGAUAAAAAUUAAAAAUAUUUGAUGUUAAUGAAAUGAUGCAUUGAUAUUGAUAUUGGCAAAUGAAAACCAUGUAUUAAUUGGCCUGAUAAACUGAUAAAACUACUUCUACGAGUAUUUUUCACAAUCUGUGUACGUAAAGAACGAGCCAGAAAUCAUUGUUAAGGUCAGCCAAGAAAACCCCCACAAAUGGAGUUUUAUUCUGACCCAAAAUGUAAAUUAUACAGAAAUACAUAUAUUAUAAAUAUAUAUAUGGAAAGCAACUAUUGUUUAGCAAUGGGCUGCGUCUAAAAGACGGCUCUGGCCGCCUUGAAAUUGAAAUUAUAGUAAAUUAAUUAUUGUUUGCAAUUGAAAAA